UACGUAGGGUGCAAGCGUUGUCCGGAAUUAUUGGGCGUAAAGAGCUCGUAGGCGGUCUGUCGCGUCUGCUGUGAAAACUCGGGGCUUAACCCCGGGCCUGCAGUGGGUACGGGCAGACUAGAGUGCGGUAGGGGAGACUGGAUCCUGGUGUAGCGGUGAAAUGCGCAGAUAUCAGGAGGAACACCGGUGGCGAAGGCGGGUCUCUGGGCCGUAACUGACGCUGGAGGAGCGAAAGCGUGGGGAGCGAACAGGAUU
rnacentral:rRNA from 1 species